UACGUAGGCAGCAAGCGUUGUUCGGAGUUACUGGGCGUAAAGGGUGUGUAGGCGGUUGGAUAAGUGUGGUGUGAAAUCUCCCGGCUCAACUGGGAGGGUGCGCUACAAACUGUCUGACUAGAGUGUGGGAUGGGUAAGUGGAAUUCCUGGUGUAGCGGUGAAAUGCGUAGAUAUCGGGAGGAACACCGGUGGCGAAGGCGGUUCUCUGGGCCUUACCUGACGCUGAGGAGCGAAAGCGUGGGGAGCGAACAGG
rnacentral:rRNA from 1 species